rnacentral:rRNA from 1 species
GACGAACGCUGGCGGCGUGCCUAAUACAUGCAAGUAGAACGCACAGUUUAUACCGUAGCUUGCUACACCAUAGCCUGUGAGUUGCGAACGGGUGAGUAACGCGUAGGUAACCUGCCUGGUAGCGGGGGAUAACUACUGGAAACGAUAGCUAAUACCGCAUAUUAUGGAUUAUUGCAGGAUAAUUGAUUGAAAGAUGCUAUUGCAUCACUACCAGCUGAACCUGCGUUGGAUUAGCUAGUAGGUGAGGUAACGGCUCAACUAGGCGACGAUACAUAGCCGACCCGAGAGGGUGAUCCGCCACACUGGGACUGAGACACGGCCCAGACUCCUACGGGAGGCAGCAGUAGGGAAUCUUCGGCAAUGGACGAAAGUCUGACCGAGCAACGCCGCGUGAGUGAAGAAGGUUCUCGGAUCGUAAAGCUCUGUUGUAAGAGAAGAACGGGUGUGAGAGUGGAAAGUUUACACUGUGACGGUAUCUUAACAGAAAGGGACGGCUAACUACGUG